rnacentral:rRNA from 1 species
GGGGAAUAUUGCACAAUGGAGGGAACUCUGAUGCAGCGACGCCGCGUGAGUGAUGAAGGCUUUCGAGUCGUAAAACUCUGUCCUUGGGGACGAUAAUGACAGUACCUUAACAACAGCCCCGGCUAACUACGUGCCAGCAGCCGCGGUAACACGUAGGGGGCGAGCGUUGUCCGGAAUCACUGGGCGUAAAGGGCGUGUAGGUGGCUGAGAAAGUCAGGUGUGAAAAGCCUCGGCUCAACCGAGGACCAGCACAUGAAACUAAGCAGCUUGAGUGCAGGAGAGGGGAGCGGAAUUCCCGGUGUAGCGGUGAAAUGCGUAGAUAUCGGGAAGAACACCGGUGGCGAAGGCGGCUCUCUGGACUGUAACUGACACUGAGGCGCGAAAGCUGGGGUAGCGAACG